CAGGUUACUCUGAAAGAGUCUGGCCCUGGUAUAUUGCAGCCCUCCCAGACCCUCAGUCUGACCUGUUCUUUCUCUGUGUUUUCACUGAGCACUUUUGGUAUGGGUGUGAGCUGGAUUCGUCAGCCUUCAGGGAAGGGUCUGGAGUGGCUGGCACACAUUUAUUGGGAUGAGGACAAGCACUAUAAACCAUCCUUGAAGAGCCGGCUCACAAUCUCCAAGGAUACCUCCAACAACCAGGUAUUCCUCAAGAUCACCACUGUGGACACUGCAGAUACUGCCACAUACUACUCUGCUCGAAGAGC